rnacentral:rRNA from 1 species
AGCGAACGCUGGCGGCAGGCUUAACACAUGCAAGUCGAACGGGCACUUCGGUGCUAGUGGCAGACGGGUGAGUAACACGUGGGAACGUACCUUUCGGUUCGGAAUAAUACAGGGAAACUUGUACUAAUACCGGAUACGCCCUUCGGGGAAGGAUUUAUCGCCGAUAGAUCGGCCCGCGUCUGAUUAGCUAGUUGGUGAGGUAAUGGCUCACCAAGGCGACGAUCAGUAGCUGGUCUGAGAGGAUGAUCAGCCACACUGGGACUGAGACACGGCCCAGACUCCUACGGGAGGCAGCAGUGGGGAAUAUUGGACAAUGGGCGAAAGCCUGAUCCAGCCAUGCCGCGUGUGUGAUGAAGGCCUUAGGGUUGUAAAGCACUUUUGUCCGGGAAGAUAAUGACUGUACCGGAAGAAUAAGCCCCGGCUAACUUCGUGCCAGCAGCCGC